GUUAUGGAGCUUGAUCAAGAACCAUCAUGGCAUUUGGUUCAAAUGAGAUACACCAUACCUCUCUCAACUUCCUAUGAGGCUUUUCAAGAAAGAAAACAAGAAAUUGCAACCACUACUAGAGUCAAGGCAAGGAGGAUGCAAACUCCAAACUUAAAAACCGAAGGAAGAUUCAACUCUCAUGAAGUCUAUCACUAUAAAUUUGAAUUUAAAAAUUAUAUAUUCUUGUCCUUACUCUAGAGUUUGAUUUGUUCCACAAACUUUUACUCCAGGAAUGAGUCGGAUUUGGUCACUAACCCACCUAGUAAAAUGGAGGAUAGAGAAAAUUCUUUAUGUUUUAUGUUUCAAUUAAUUUUAAAACUAAAUAAAA